rnacentral:rRNA from 1 species
UAACCCGCACCACUUAUCGUGGUGGGAGACAGUGUCAAGCGGGCAGUUUGACUGGGGCGGUCGCCUCCUAAAAGGUAACGGAGGCGCUCAAAGGUUCCCUCAGAAUGGUUGGAAAUCAUUCAUAGAGGGUAAAGGCAUAAGGGAGCUUGACUGCGAGACCUACAAGUCGAGCAGGGUCGAAAGACGGACUUAGUGAUCCGGUG